AUGAACGUUGGCGGCGUGGAUUAGGCAUGCAAGUCGAGCGAGAAGGAACUUCUCACCCGCACCAUUUAGCCCGGCCAUCUUGGCCGGGGCUGAGUGGUUCAGGUGAGAAGUUCCGGAAAGCGGCGAAAGGGAGAGUAAUACGUAGUUACGUACCCCAGGGUCCGGAAUAGCCACGGGAAACUGUGGGUAAUGCCGGAUAAUAUCUGCUCUGUAAUGGAUCGGAUCAAAGGUGUGAUUCCGCCUUGGGAGCGGACUGCGUUGUACUAGCUAGUUGGUAGGGUAAUGGCCUACCAAGGCGAUGAUGCAUAGCGGGCGUGAGAGCGUGGCCCGCCUCACUGGGACUGAGACACUGCCCAGACACCUACGGGUGGCUGCAGUCGAGAAUCUUCGGCAAUGCGCGCAAGCGUGACCGAGCGACGCCGUGUGUGGGAUGAAGGCCUUCGGGUUGUAAACC
rnacentral:rRNA from 1 species